UGAGCAAUCUGCCCUUCUCAUCGGAAUAAGCGUUGGAAACGACGUCUAAUGCCGAAUACGACCUCCUUUCGCAUGAUCGGAGGUGGAAAGUUCCGGCGGAGAAGGAUGAGCUCGCGGCCUAUCAGCUAGUUGGUGUGGGUAAUGGCCAACCGAAGGCGACGACGGGUAGCCGGCCUGAGGAGGGUGACCCGGCCACACGUGGGACUGAGACACGGCCCAGACCUCCGACGGGAGNAGCG
rnacentral:rRNA from 1 species